GGGGUGCAGCAGGCGCGAAACCUCUGCAAUAAGCGAAAGCUUGACAGGGUUAUUCUGAGUGAUUUCCGCUAAGGAAGUCUUUUGGCACCUCUAAAAAUGGUGCAGAAUAAGGGGUGGGCAAGCCUGGUGUCAGCCGCCGCGGUAAUACCAGCACCCCGAGUGGUCGGGACGAUUAUUGGGCCUAAAGCAUCCGUAGCCGGUUCUACAAGUCUUCCGUUAAAUCCAGCUGCUUAACAGUUGGGCUGCGGAGGAUACUAUAGAGCUAGGAGGCGGGAGAGGCAAGCGGUACUUAGUGGGUAGGGGUAAAAUCCGUUGAUCCACUGAAGACCACCAGUGGCGAAGGCGGCUUGCCAGAACGCGCUCGACGGUGAGGGAUGAAAGCUGGGGGAGCAAACCGGAUUAGAUACCCGGGUAGUCCCAGCUGUAAACGAUGCAGACUCGGUGAUGAAUAGGCUUCGUGCAUAUUCAGUGCCGCAGGGAAGCCGUUAAGUCUGCCGCCUGGGGAGUACGGUCGCAGGACUGAAACUUAAAGGAAUUGGCGGGGGAGCAC
rnacentral:rRNA from 1 species